GCUAGGGGUUUGUGAAAACAAAAUUUUAAGCCUCCCCUCUCACUAUCUCACACUAUACUUUCUUCUUUCUGGUCUUCCUAUCUUUUACCUGCCUGCUCUCCCUCAUCUCUUUUGAAGAGGAGAUUCUUGAAGGACUCUGAAAGACCCAACAUGAAUUUGGAAAGUGCAAAGAAAAUAAAAACAAGAGUAAUGCUGACUUGUUGAAAUAACUACAGUUUUCUCUUUCAGAUUGAGGCCAGUAAGAGCAACACUAAUGCUUCCUGGAGGAGUUAUCUACCAGAUAAUACUAACCUAGUAGAGGAGAAAAAUGGGAAAGCACAAAACUAGGAAUUUUGCAAGCAUAAAGCAACUUUGAGACUUACUUUAUUCUCUGUUAUCAGUGGCUCUCAGUCAGAGGCAAUUUUACCCUCCCAAGGGAUAUUUGGCAUGUCUGGAGACCAUUUUAACUAUUACAACUGGGGUAGAAGGUAA